GGACCGCAGGCGAGAGGGAGAAGGAAGGGCGCCCGGGGAGCAGGCUGGCAGAGUGACCGGGAUUGAUGAGCGGCGCAGCUCUGGAGGGACGCGGGCGAGAGGGUCGCUCCUCGGGGAGAGGGCUGGGUGAGUGAGGACCUGCGAGCCACCCCCGACACCCCUUCCAGGGUAGCCACACUGGCGCCCCCUCCUCCACAACAGGCUUAUGUGGCUAGAGAAGAUGCGAUGCCACUGGACAGGGAAGGAAAGUCGUCGUGGACUUCGCUGAAUGGAAAAGGGGGUAGUUGGGGAAGGUGGAGAAAAGAGCCACGGGAAGUGGGAGGAAAGGAUGAAGGGAUGGGACGUUGAAAAGGAAAGCUUCCUGAAUCCCUGUGUGACUCUAACCCAACCUCCCCACCUACCGGAGAAAUGGGUUUUAUCCUAGAAAUGGGGACGAGGAAAAAGAGAUGGCUCAAGGGAGUCCUGGCCCGGGAUGCGAUCCUCGCCCUAGGGUCUAUUGCAACCACACAAACCCGGACAGCGCACGCUCCCCCCUACCCCGACAGAAUAGUGCCUAAGAAACCUGCUUGCCUCCUAACUCUAGGAAGGAAUCCACAACGGAUUCCAGGGAGGUCUUCUGGGGAAUCUGAAUUGGGUUUUUGGAUCACGAACCAUUAAGCUUUUGAACUCUGGGGUUUUGCCUUUUCCGGAAUGCCAUAUAUAAGGAAUCAUACAGUAUGCAGUCUUUCUUUCAAUUUUGCUGUGAAACUAAAACUGCUAAGAAAAUAAAGUCUUAAAAAGAAAAAUCAAUGGAGAAGGGAAAGCUCUACCACCCUCUGAUUUUUUUUAACAGCCUAUGAUAAGAGGAGAUGAAUGCCUGCUAAAGCGACCAGAAGGCUCUCAGUAAAAAGUAUUCACUAGGUAUCAAUAGAAUCUGCAAAACGAAGAGGUGCUUGAAAGAUGUGAAAGAGGAAACUUAAAGAGAAACCCAGAUGGUACAUCUCUCUUCCUGGCUAGAUAGAUGGAAUGUACAGCCAGAGGAUUGGAUGAGGUCAUCGACGGAGAGAAUGCAGAGAGAAUCCUGGGGCUCACCAACAUGAAGAAUUUGGGACAAGAAAGAAGAUCCAGCAGAGAAGACUGAAAGAAGGCAACUAAUGAAAUAGGAGAGAACCUGGAGAGCACAGAGUCUUAGAGGCCAAGAAAGUGGUUUAAUAUAAUCCGUAUCAAAGCAUUUGUGGUUUAUUUUUGUUAACUGACAAAAGGAUUCUAAAACAUACCUGAAAAGUAUAAUUCACACCUAGGAUAAUGGAUCAUUCUGUCACAUUGUUCCUUUUUCACAGCUGAUAUGAACAUGAUAUUUUCAUGACUUUGUAAAAUAAAAAUGGAAUCUUUCUAAUUUUUUUAAAAAAACUGCUUACUUAUGCAAGCCUUCUGUCUCUCACUGUAUAACCCCUCCACUUUUAUACGGGUCACACAUGUUUCUGUCACUUUCCUGGAGCCCUUGUAGCAAAUUAAUAACAUGUAGCACAUGCUUGAAGAAAAAUUUGUCUAGGACAUUUUGUUUUUGAGAUUCAUAAAUUGACUCUAUUUUACAUAAGAAUCUAUUAUGCCAUAGGAAGCUUAUUAAACCCUUGAGCAGGAACAAAUUAUUCAAUAAAUGGUGAUGAGAUGAAUGCCU
rnacentral:lncRNA from 1 species